AUACUUACCUGGCAGGGGAGAUACCAUGAUCACGAAGGUGGUUAUCCCAGGGUGAGGCUUAUCCAUUAAUCUUCAGAUGUACUGAAAUCUUCGAUUUCCCCAAAUGUGGGAAACUCGGCUGCAUAAUUUGCGGUAGUGGGGAGGGGGGGCAGUACUGCGUUCCCACU
ensembl:snRNA Gm23680 predicted gene, 23680